UUUGACAGCUGAUGGGCGUUGGCUUUUGAAGACGUACUGGGUUAGGUGCAUCUGGCUUGCCGUUUUCAGUCGUUGCCUGCUGCAGUCCUGAGCGGGAGGAUCACGAUCACUCAGACCGGAUCAACAAUCGAAGAUUCAAACAAACAUCCAUCAAGAUGGCCGCCCCACCGACCCGCGGACUCGUUAAGGCAAAGAAGUACGACUGGAAAGAUUCCAAUUUGGCGCUUUUCGGUUCCGAUACCGAAAAAUCGGUUAAGAAGGAAUCGGCCAAGCACGAGAUCGCAUGGAGGGGUGCUGGUUUGAAGCCAGGUUUGCAGAUUUGGCGCAUUAACAAGUUCAAGGUGGAACACUGGCCAAAGGAAGACUACGGUAACUUCUUUAAUGGUGACUCGUACAUCAUCCUAAACACCUAU